rnacentral:rRNA from 1 species
UACGGGGGGAGCAAGCGUUGUUCGGAUUUACUGGGCGUAAAGGGCGCGUAGGCGGUCGUGACCAGUCACUUGUGAAAUCUCCGGGCUUAACUCGGAACGGUCAAGUGAUACUGUCGGACUAGAGUACAGAAGGGGCAACUGGAAUUCUCGGUGUAGCGGUGAAAUGCGUAGAUAUCGAGAGGAACACCUGCGGCGAAGGCGGGUUGCUGGGCCGACACUGACGCUGAUGCGCGAAAGCUAGGGGAGCGAACGGG